GGUGACUUUGCUGUCGUUCACGGUGGAGUCAGAACAUACGUUCCUGGACUACAUCAAAGGAGGAACCCAGAUUCACUUCACGGUGGCCAUUGAUUUCACUGCAUCCAAUGGUAACCCGUCCAGUCCACCUCUCUACUACA